rnacentral:rRNA from 1 species
CUUAACACAUGCAAGUCGAACGGUAGCAGGUCUUCGGAUGCUGACGAGUGGCGGACGGUGAGUAACGCGUAGGAAUCUGCCUAUUAGUGGGGGACAACGUGUGGAAACGCACGCUAAUACCGCAUACGCCCUACGGGGGAAAGGAGGGGAUCUUCGGACCUUUCGCUAAUAGAUGAGCCUGCGUUGGAUUAGCUAGUUGGUAGGGUAAAGGCCUACCAAGGCGACGAUCCAUAGCUGUUCUGAGAGGAAGAUCAGCCACACUGGGACUGAGACACGGCCCAGACUCCUACGGGAGGCAGCAGUGGGGAAUAUUGGACAAUGGGCGAAAGCCUGAUCCAGCAAUACCGCGUGUGUGAAGAAGGCCUUAGGGUUGUAAAGCACUUUCAAUGGGGAGGAAAAAACAAGCGUUAAUACCGCUUGUCUUGACAUUACCUAUAGAAGAAGCACCGGCUAACUCCGUGCCAGCAGCCGCGGUAAUACGGAGGGUGCGAGCGUUAAUCGGAAUUACUGGGCGUAAAGAGUGCGUAGGCGGCUCGUUAAGUCAGAUGUGAAAGCCCUGGGCUCAACCUGGGAACUGCAUUUGAAACUGGCGAGCUAGAGUUGAGUAGAGGUAAGUGGAAUUUCAGGUGUAGCGGUGAAAUGCGUAGAUAUCUGAAGGAACACCAGUGGCGAAGGCGACUUACUGGACUCAAACUGACGCUGAGGUACGAAAGCGUGGGUAGCAAACAGGAUUAGAUACCCUGGUAGUCC